GUUAAAAGGAGAGGGAGUGGGGCUGGAUAAAAGAAGAAAAGGAGGAGGGUGAGACACUCAGAGUUUAGAAACUGCUAAGAGCCUACAUUUGCUAUUGCACUAUUGGAGACGUUGUAAUAGCCUAUAUCUGCUAUUGCACUAUUGGAGACGUUGUAAUAGCCUAUAUCUGCUAUUGCACUAUUGGAGUCUGCUCAAAUGCUGCCUAGACCAGAGCUAAAAUUGCUAAUAGGCACUGUCUCUGGUCCAUUUGAAUCUGGAAUCACUCCACCCCUGUUGCUGCUAUACCAACUGCCAACAAGGAUCACAGUGCUAUCUGUGCUACCUUCUGAUCUCCCAGAAGUGCCUUCUAUUGACAAGCCUAACAGGAACCAAGCUGGCAAGGAAGUCUGGGGAAAGUAGAUUGCAGAAUUUCAGCCUCAGGAGAACAGAGCUGACUAUAGAAGGAUGACUGUGUGUGAAAUGGGGAGAGGGCUGAGUGCCCACAGAAAAUAACCAACCAGGACACUUAUUUUCAGCUAUUAAGCAUCCACACACACAUCCUUCUACCCAUAUUUAAACUUCUAUGCAGCAAUAACAGUUUUAUGCUUCUGUCUUUGUAGAUUUAACUCUGUUCUUUAUGAAACUCACCAUUCCCUCAGAAAGGGGAGAAACAGCCCCACCAGUUACUACUGUUCUUAUUGGUGUUAAUUCUUCUAGUUUAGUCACAAUCCCACCUAGAUAUUCUGUAGCUUGAAGAUUAAACUGUAAAGUUCCCUAUCAUUAGUAUUAGUGGCAUUCCUUGUACUCCUACGGCUUGAGAGGGGGAAGGAAAAAAAUAGUUACUAUAUACAAAGAUAUUUAGAACAAGCAAUGAAGCACAUUUACAUAACUACUUUGGUACUUGUUUCUGACUGGUCAUGAAGCUGUAGUUGAUAUUUGUAACUUCUUCCUCUACUUAAUUUUUCAUUGCUCCUGGCCAGCACUUCAGCUGGCAAGUGUUCUUUACCUAGUAGGGUAGCUGAAUCUUCAUUCUGGAUGGGUCUGAGUCUUUAGUAGUUGGGGUGCUUAUUAAUUUUCACUAUUAAAUAAGUCUUAAGAGGCAAUCCAGAGAUUCCCCUGGGGUCCUUGACCUCAUUGUGUAGCAGCAACCCAAUAUCCGUAAUAAUAAUCUAGUUCAGUCACCCCAGCCAAUACAGGGAUCUCUUUCUUUGUUUUUUAGUUUAGUGUGAUAAGAAACCUAAUAUAUCUAGGCAUCAGUCUCAAUUUUCAAUUCAUUUGAACCAUUUUAUGUGCCUUGGUAGAAGAAUUCUUUCCUUGUGAACUAAGACCUGUAAACUAGCAUAGUCCAAGUUUACAGGGAUGAGAAUUAGAAAUUCUGUGAGAGGGUUAUUAAGUAUACUACUGAGAGGAAUCAGUCCUAUUUUUAUCCCUUGAUUCCUGGACCCAUGUAUUCUGGCAAUGGGAGAAAUACAACUAUGCUGAUCACUGGUUCAAACUAUAUGCUACAUUUUGUAUAAUAGCACUGAAGUCUCUCAGGGGCUUGUCUCCCAC
rnacentral:lncRNA from 1 species